rnacentral:lncRNA from 1 species
UUGGCGUUUAUGAUGCGAGUUUGUCAAUUUCAAGAUGUUGUGAUACUUCAAAUGGGAAAUUAUAGAUUAAUUUUGAGGAGAGAGAGAGGGAGAGAGAGAGAGAGAUGAAAUAUGGAUCAUAGGGAUGAGUGUAUGUGGGUUUUGACGUCGACCACGAAGGCACCUGAAGUGAGUUUGUAAAUCUCAAGAUGUCAAGCUGGCUCAGUAUC